rnacentral:rRNA from 1 species
UACGUAGGCAGCGAGCGUUGUUCGGAAUUACUGGGCGUAAAGAGUGUGUAGGCGGUGCUCUAAGUUCGGUGUGAAAUAUCCCGGCUCAACCGGGAGGGUGCAGUGUAGACUAGGGAGCUAGAGGUCGGUAGAGGGGGGUGGAAUUGCUGGUGUAGCGGUGAAAUGCGUAGAGAUCAGCAGGAACACCCGUGGCGAAGGCGGCCCCCUGGGCCGUACCUGACGCUGAGGCGCGAAGGCUAGGGGAGCGAACGGG